CAGCCGCGGUAAUACGGAGGGUGCAAGCGUUAAUCGGAAUUACUGGGCGUAAAGCGCACGCAGGCGGUCUGACAAGUCAGAUGUGAAAUCCCCGGGCUUAACCUGGGAACUGCAUUUGAAACUGUCAGGCUGGAGUCUUGUAGAGGGGGGUGGAAUUCCAGGUGUAGCGGUGAAAUGCGUAGAGAUCUGGAGGAAUACCGGUGGCGAAGGCGGCCCCCUGGACAAAGACUGACGCUCAGGUGCGAAAGCGUGGGGAGCAAACAGGAUUAGAUACCCGCGUAGUCCCUGUCUCUUAUACACA
rnacentral:rRNA from 1 species